AGGGCCGACCGACCAAUCGAAACGCGAGAGCGCGGCCAUGUUGAUUUGUCAAUAAUUUGAAAGCGAGAGGGACAAAAGAAGAUUUUGGAAGGAAAGAGGAUUUCCCAAAUCUGGGAGAACGACUGGUCGUUACACUCUUCACAUAGACCACGUUAAAACGCGUAUCGUCAAAAAAGAUAUUUUGGACGGAAAGAGCAAACUCAAGCUAGCCUGGAUUUGGCCAAUCCAAAACUACUUUUCAAACUAUCAUCUCAACAAAUAAAAAACAAAAGGAAAUAGCAUCCAGGUGGAACAAACGUGCAAAAAUCAUGCUGAAUUUAUACAUGUAGCUCAUCAGACACUAAGACACCAUUGCAGUAAAGACACGAUUGUAGCAAAGGACUUUCAGGUAAACACCCCAUAAGGUAAAAAAGGGUGUGAUAAGUCGCAUAUUUUUGAUCUAUUUAUUCAUUUGAAUGUUAAUUUCUCAAUUUUUUUGGGAGCAUCAUCUUGUAAAUAAUCAUAUUUCAAGCACCGGACUCUUAUUUUCAAGGGCCCUGUUGACAGACACUGGAAGUGCAGUGCACUUUUUACUAUUUUAGUCUGUACUUGAUCAGUGAGCAAAAAACAGAUUUUUGAGCAUCAGUUGCGCUGGUAAAUUGAAAAGACAGAGUGAGAAAGGAUAAAUGGCAAGAGCAUCAAAUCCAGCACGGAUGAUCGGCUUGAUCACAGCAACAAACGGGCAGCUCAGAGGGAGCAAGUCUGCAGGAUUCGAUGGCCAGCAGCCUCAGAAGAGGAGCAAUAUUCCUCAGAGCAGCGGUGGUAUAAAGUAUGAUUUGGUUUGGUUUGGGGAUGAUUGGAAAAUGUGCCUGGAGCUUCCUUCAAAAGACAACAGAAUAAAAACAUCGGAUGUUACAGCUACCAAGGGAAAUGAAUUUGAAGACUACUGCCUCAAGAGGGAACUUCUCAUGGGGAUCUUUGAGAUGGGAUGGGAGAAGCCCUCACCUAUCCAGGAGGAAAGCAUCCCCAUCGCCUUGUCGGGCAGAGAUAUUUUGGCCCGUGCCAAAAACGGAACAGGCAAAAGUGGAGCCUACCUCAUCCCUCUCCUGGAGAGAAUAGUCAUAAAGAAGAAUCACAUUCAAGCCUUAGUCAUAGUGCCCACGCGAGAGUUGGCCCUGCAGAUGAGCCAGAUCAGUAUUCAGCUCAGCAAGCACCUUGGAGGAGUGAAGGUCAUGGCCACCACUGGCGGCACCAAUUUGAGGGAUGACAUCUUGCGCCUCGACGAGACGGUGCAUGUCAUAAUUGCCACACCCGGAAGAAUAUUGGACCUGAUGAAAAAGGGUCUGGCUAAAGUCGACAAGAUACAAAUGAUGGUGAUGGAUGAGGCAGAUAAGCUCCUCUCACAAGACUUUGUAUCCAUCAUUGAAGAAAUCAUCAGUUUCUUACCAAAAAAACGUCAGAUUCUACUUUACUCUGCGACGUUCCCCAUCAGUGUGCAGACAUUCAUGAACAAACACCUGCAAAAGCCUUAUGAGAUUAACCUUAUGGAGGAGCUGACACUUAAGGGAAUUACUCAGUAUUAUGCGUAUGUGACUGAAAGGCAGAAGGUCCACUGUCUCAAUACUCUAUUUUCCAGACUUCAGAUCAACCAGUCCAUCAUCUUCUGCAACUCCACUCAGCGGGUGGAGCUCUUGGCCAAGAAGAUUACCCAGCUGGGCUAUUCAUGCUUCUACAUCCAUGCCAAGAUGAUGCAAGAGUACAGGAACCGCGUCUUCCAUGACUUCCGUAACGGAUUGUGCAGAAAUCUGGUGUGCACAGACCUGUUCACGCGGGGAAUCGAUAUCCAGGCGGUCAAUGUGGUCAUCAACUUUGACUUUCCCAAAAGUGCAGAAACAUACUUACAUCGCAUAGGAAGAUCAGGGCGCUUCGGUCACCUGGGUCUGGCCAUCAACCUGAUCACAUCGGAGGAUCGUCACAAUCUGAAGAGCAUCGAGGACCAGUUGGUCACCGACAUCAAGCCCAUCCCUGGCAACAUCGACAAGAGCCUGUAUGUGGCAGAGUUUCACUCUGUGGACCCCGACGACAACGGACCAGCAAACACAAAACAGGGAGCAGCCUGAAUGAAAGAAGUCAUUGGCAUCGCAGUUACAAGAGUCCUCUUUCACUGUUUACAACUGUGGCCUAUGUUUUGUCUCUCUUACUCACUCACUCACACUCACACACACACACACACACACACACACACACAUUCUGGUUACCUGCUGCCAUUUAAACCAAGCAAAAAUGUUGGAUAGAGGUCAAAAAGUGAAAUACUAGCCAUGCUAACUUACAUUUUGUUGUUAUAAACUUCAAUCUUUGUGAUCCAUUCCUUUCUGCCACCAUUCCAACUUGUUUUUGCCCUCUUUUUAAAAUUGUGACUGGUUUAUGCAGUUACAAAUCACAGCACAGAAGCUCUGUAUAUUUAUUUUGACUAAGAGGCCAGUUCAGUUCAGUGUUGCACUCAUUUCAACACCCAUAGUUUUCUUGGCAAAAAAAAAAAUAACACUCCCUGAAGAGUAAACAAAUUAAAUUAACGAGGAAGAAAUUUUGCUUGAAACUUGUCAUGAUUUAGCCAUUUGACUUUUCUGUGUGUUUGUCUGUGUGUGUGUCUGUAUCUCUUUGUCUGUCACUGACAACCAUAGCAGCAAGCGAGAAGGGCAAUAAUUUUCCUGUAAGCUGCUGUUGCUUUCUGAGAGAAUAAAAGUAAUUUGAGGUUUG